AUCCAGUCCAGCAUGUGUAUUUUCUUGAAAGUCGGUUAAAGCAUACUGUAGGCUACACCCGACACGUACUGGGCUCACGCAAACUUCGCGACAAUGCUUAUUAUUAUCACAAAGCUGAGUGGAUCAUUGCAGCAUGCUCAGGAAAGUGGCAGAUAUGCAGCACAGCAUCUGGACUGAUCAUUACCCUGAGAAAACAUCACAUCAAGCUGAGAGUGACAGUUUUGUAAGGCCUAUCCCUAGCAAAACAGAGAGAACAAAAGGACUCAACAGCUACAGGACACCAGGAGUACCUGUUACUUGUGCUAAUCUACCUGUGCGAAGUGUCUGAAAGCCCUGAGGAUCAUCAAGUUAUCUCUGGUCAUGUUAAGAAAAAUGCUCAAGUGGAUGAUUUCUACACUCAUGGGACUGACCAGAGAUCUACCCGCCCAGGUUGUGUCUCUACAGUGGUGAAGAAAAUGUAUGAGUCCUCAAGGGGAUCACCAAUCCGAAAUGGGGGUGAUAGCUGCACCCAGCAAAUCCAUAUCUGCCUUUGAACCAGAGACCAACUCUGGAAAAGAUGCUGAGGCAGUCCAUCCCGGACCAUCAUACUCUGGAUCUAGCUCUGGUUCCAAAGAAAGGCCCAGCGACAAUGGAUGGGGUAACUGGGUACAAGAGAGGUGCAAAAUGGAACAUUGCUACCUACAGAAGAGAUGAAGAGGCCCCAAAUCUUAAAUUAACCGUGGCUCAAAGUCAGGAGUUGAAAGGCCUCCCACUUCCCGUUACCCAGCGACUUCCUGUUACCCAGUGUGUGAGUGAACUUGCAGCUCGUCAACAAAUUAAAAUGACCUUUUACAGAAGAGGGGCUGGGAUGGAGCAUGUGACAUAUACUGUGUUUCUUCAGUUCUUAAUCAUCACCGCACUAAUUCAAGACUCUGAUGAUUGAUAGAGCAGCCAGUCAUGUAAUGAGCUCAACUUGACUGACACACAUGCAGGAAGUGGAACACUCGCUCUCAGGAACACUCCUGAAGCUGUUCAGCCUGCAAUGACGACGGAUGUGCAAAAGUGCAGACAAUAUAUGGAUCGAAUGACACCAUAGUGUAUCAGAGAAGUAACCCCAUCGAAAACCUCACAAGUUGUUCCACCACCUCUGCACCACCUCCUCAGAGUCGGAGGUGUGUUUUGUGUCUUGCUGAUAUCAGAGAUAUAACCCUCUUUUGCUCAGACAGCUGGGAAGCAGCUGGGCCGCUCGACUGGGAGGUUGAUGGUAUCCGAUUGAAAAACAUCUUUAUGGUUGACUGCCCAGCCAUGAAGACUGUUGAUCGUGUAACAGACCUUAUCCCUGGUGAUAUUUCUGGUACCCUCAACCCUGGUGGAAUUGCCGUUAUUGUGGUCUGCUGUGCUGGGAUUGGCAUCGUGUCAAUCGGUUUCUAUUAUCGCAAGAUUGAACGCGAUCGUCAAGAGAGGAGGCCUGAAGCUCUGUAGACGACGAAAGUAUGAGGAACAUGCAGUGGAGCAUUUGGGAGAGGAACAGUGAAGCAUUCUACAUUUUCAAACAAACAUGUCUUAUGAGUUGUUAACACUAGUAGAAACUACAAUUGUAUCGUUUGUGCUGGACACUUCUAUAAGGGGUAAAAGGUUACAAUGACAGUGCAUGCCUUUAGAAACAUUUUCUUUCCUAUAUAUGUUUUCCAUAUGCUUACCUACAGUUGAAGUCGGAAGUUGAGCUACACCUUAUCCAAAUACAUUUAAACUCAGUUUUUCACAAUUCCUGACAUUUAAUCCUAGUAAAAAUUCCCUGCCUUAGGUCAGUUAGGAUCAUCACUAUUUUAAGAAUGAUGCUGAAUGAAGAAUAAAGUGAUCAUGUAAAUUGAGCUCGGUGCAUUUUAAACCCUGUCAUUUGUAGUUCUAGACAACUGCCCACAGGGAGAGAUGCAGUCUAGAGGCAUGGUGGAUCCUGUUUGAUGGGAGCAUGUGGCUAAUAAAGUUUGAGAGCUGUAAUGGUAAUAAUCCUAGACCGUCGCCUGCCUUUUGUGCUGCACUGCUUUCCGUUUCUUUGUUUUUCCAAUUUUAACUAUGUUUUUUAAAAGUA